rnacentral:rRNA from 1 species
AUACAGAGGGUGCGAGCGUUAAUCGGAAUUACUGGGCGUAAAGCGCGCGUAGGUGGCUUGAUAAGUCGGAUGUGAAAGCCCUGGGCUCAACCUGGGAACUGCAUUCGAUACUGUCUGGCUAGAGUAUAGUAGAGGGAAGUGGAAUUCCGGGUGUAGCGGUGAAAUGCGUAGAUAUCCGGAGGAACAUCAGUGGCGAAGGCGGCUUCCUGGACCAAUACUGACGCUGAGGUGCGAAAGCGUGGGGAGCAAACAGGAUUAGAAACCCGGGUAGUCC